GAUGAACGCUGGCGGCGUGCCUAAUACAUGCAAGUCGAGCGAACAGACGAGGAGCUUGCUCCUCUGACGUAGCGGCGGACGGGUGAGGAACACGUGGAUAACCUACCUAUAAGACUGGGAUAACUUCGGGAAACCGGAGCUAAUACCGGAUAAUAUAUUGAACCGCAUGGUUCAAUAGGGAAAGACGGCUUUGCUGGCACUUAUAGAUGGAUCCGCGCCGCAUUAGCUAGUUGGUAAGGUAACGGCUUACCAAGGCGACGAUGCGUAGCCGACCUGAGAGGGUGAUCGGCCACACUGGAACUGAGACACGGUCCAGACUCCUACGGGAGGCAGCAGUAGGGAAUCUUCCGCAAUGGGCGAAAGCCUGACGGAGCAACGCCGCGUGAGUGAUGAAGGUCUUCGGAUCGUAAAACUCUGUUAUUAGGGAAGAACAAAUGUGUAAGUAACUAUGCACGUCUUGACGGUACCUAAUCAGAAAGCCACGGCUAACUACGUG
rnacentral:rRNA from 1 species